rnacentral:rRNA from 1 species
GACGAACGCUGGCGGCGUGCUUAACACAUGCAAGUCGAGCGGUAAGGCCCUUUCGGGGGUACGACGAGCGGCGAACGGGUGAGUAACACGUGGGUGACCUGCCCUCCAGCUCUGGGAUAAGCCCGGGAAACGUGGGUCUAAUACCGGAUAUGACUUCAUGACGCAUGUUGUGGAGUGGAAAGCCUUGUGCGGCUGAGGAUGGGCCCGCGGCCUAUCAGCUUGUUGGUGGGGUGAUGGCCUACCAAGGCGACGACGGGUAGCCGGCCUGAGAGGGCGACCGGCCGACACUGGGACUGAGAUACGGCCCAGACUCCUACGGGAGGCAGCAGUGGGGAAUCUUGCGCAAUGGGCGAAAGCCUGACGCAGCGACGCCGCGUGAGGGAUGACGGCCUGG